rnacentral:rRNA from 1 species
GAUGAACGCUGGCGGCGUGCCUAGUACAUGCAAGUCGAGCGAACGGACGAGAAGCUUGCUUCUCUGAUGUUAGCGGCGGACGGGUGAGUAACACGUGGAUAACCUACCUAUAAGACUGGGAUAACUUCGGGAAACCGGAGCUAAUACCGGAUGAUAUUUUGAACCGCAUGGUUCAAAAGUGAAAGACGGUCUUGCUGUCACUUAUAGAUGGAUCCGCGCUGCAUUAGCUAGUUGGUAAGGUAACGGCUUACCAAGGCAACGAUGCAUAGCCGACCUGAGAGGGUGAUCGGCCACACUGGAACUGAGACACGGUCCAGACUCCUACGGGAGGCAGCAGUAGGGAAUCUUCCGCAAUGGGCGAAAGCCUGACGGAGCAACGCCGCGUGAGUGAUGAAGGUCUUCGGAUCGUAAAACUCUGUUAUUAGGGAAGAACAUAUGUGUAAGUAACUGUGCACAUCUUGACGGUACCUAAUCAGAAAGCCACGGCUAACUACGU